UGAGUAACACGUAUCCAACCUGCCGUCUACUCUUGGACAGCCUUCUGAAAGGAAGAUUAAUACAAGAUGGCAUCAUGAGUCCGCAUGUUCACAUGAUUAAAGGUAUUCCGGUAGACGAUGGGGAUGCGUUCCAUUAGAUAGUAGGCGGGGGAACGGCCCACCUAGUCUUCGAUGGAUAGGGGUUCUGAGAGGAAGGUCCCCCACAUUGGAACUGAGACACGGUCCAA
rnacentral:rRNA from 1 species